UUUAGAAGCCAUAUACACAGUGUUCUUGUCGUCGAUCGCCUAUCUUAUCUUUUGUCCCAUUUGGCAUCGUGUUCUCUUGAUUUGUGCUUCACUUUUAUUUCACCAUUGGCAUUGGCAUUGAAGGGUCUUGGCUCACGGGGCUGUUAGAUACACCCGACUUUUUGAGAGUGUGUGCGAGAUGCUGAAGACCUGCUGUUGUUGGUUUUUUUCUCUUUUUUUUUUUAAUUUUUUUCGGUU